AGUGAACGCUGGCGGUAGGCCUAACACAUGCAAGUCGAACGGCAGCACAGUAAGAGCUUGCUCUUACGGGUGGCGAGUGGCGGACGGGUGAGGAAUACAUCGGAAUCUACUUUUUCGUGGGGGAUAACGUAGGGAAACUUACGCUAAUACCGCAUACGACCUACGGGUGAAAGCAGGGGAUCUUCGGACCUUGCGCGAUUGAAUGAGCCGAUGUCGGAUUAGCUAGUUGGCGGGGUAAAGGCCCACCAAGGCGACGAUCCGUAGCUGGUCUGAGAGGACGAUAGGCCGCACUGGAACGUAGACAGGGUCCAGGCUCCUAAGGGAGGCAGCAGUGGGGAAUAUUAGACAAUGGGCGCAAGCCUGAUCCAGCCAUACCGCGUGGGUGGAGGAGGCCUUCGGGUUGUAAAGCCCUUUUGUUGGGAAAAAAAAGCAGCAGGUUGAUACCCCGCUGUUCUGACGGUACCCAAAGAAUAAGCACCGGCUAACUUCGUG
rnacentral:rRNA from 1 species